rnacentral:rRNA from 1 species
AUUGAACGCUGGCGGCAUGCUUUACACAUGCAAGUCGAACGGCAGCGCGGGCUUUGGCCUGGCGGCGAGUGGCGAACGGGUGAGUAAUACAUCGGAACGUGCCCAGUAGUAGGGGAUAGCUCGGCGAAAGCCGGAUUAAUACCGCAUACGACCUGAGGGUGAAAGCGGGGGAUCUUCGGACCUCGCGCUAUUGGAGCGGCCGAUGGCAGAUUAGCUAGUUGGUGGGGUAAAGGCCUACCAAGGCGACGAUCUGUAGCUGGUCUGAGAGGACGACCAGCCACACUGGGACUGAGACACGGCCCAGACUCCUACGGGAGGCAGCAGUGGGGAAUUUUGGACAAUGGGCGAAAGCCUGAUCCAGCAAUGCCGCGUGUGUGAUGAAGGCCUUCGGGUUGUAAAGCACUUUUGGCGGGAACGAAAAGGACUGUGCCAAUACCACGGUUCGAUGACGGUACCCGCAGAAUAAGCACCGGCUAACUACGUG